rnacentral:rRNA from 1 species
AGCCUGAUGCAGCGACGCCGCGUGGGGGAUGACGGUCUUCCGACCCCCAACCCCUUUCAGUAGGGACGAAGCGCAAGUGACGGUACCUGCAGAAGAAGCACCGGCUAACUACGUGCCAGCAGCCGCGGUAAUACGUAGGGUGCGAGCGUUGUCCGGAAUUACUGGGCGUAAAGAGCUCGUAGCCGCGGUAAUACGUAGGGUGCGAGCGUUGUCCGGAAUUACUGGGCGUAAAGAGCUCGUAGGCGGUUUGUCACGUCGUCUGUGAAAUCCCUCGGCUUAACCGGGGGCGUGCAGGCGAUACGGGCAGACUUGAGUACUACAGGGGAGACUGGAAUUCCUGGUGUAGCGGUGAAAUGCGCAGAUAUCAGGAGGAACACCGGUGGCGAAGGCGGGUCUCUGGGUAGUAACUGACGCUGAGGAGCGAAAGCAUGGGUAGCGAACAGGAUUAGAUACCCUGGUAGUCCAUGCCGUAAACGGUGGGCGCUAGGUGUGGGGUCCUUCCACGGACUCCGUGCCGUAGCUAACGCAUUAAGCGCCCCGCCUGG